rnacentral:rRNA from 1 species
GACGAACGCUGGCGGCGUGCUUAACACAUGCAAGUCGAACGGUGAACUCCGCUUGCGGGGGGAUCAGUGGCGAACGGGUGAGUAACACGUGGGCAACCUGCCCUCAGCUCUGGGAUAACUCCAAGAAAUUGGGGCUAAUACCGGAUAUGACCGCUGACCGCAUGGUCUGGUGGUGGAAAGAUUUAUCGGCUGGGGCUGGGCCCGCGGCCUAUCAGCUUGUUGGUGGGGUAGUGGCCUACCAAGGCGACGACGGGUAGCCGGCCUGAGAGGGUGACCGGCCACACUGGGACUGAGACACGGCCCAGACUCCUACGGGAGGCAGCAGUGGGGAAUAUUGCGCAAUGGGCGAAAGCCUGACGCAGCGACGCCGCGUGGGGGAUGACGGCCUUCGGGUUGUAAACCUCUUUCAGCAGGGACGAAGCGAAAGUGACGGUACCUGCAGAAGAAGCACCGGCCAACUACGUG